UUCGACCUGAGCUCAGGCAAGACUACCCGCUGAACUUAAGCAUAUCAAUAAGCGGAGGAAAAGAAAUCAACUGAGAUGCCCUUAGUAACGGCGAGCGAACCGGGCAAAGCCCAACUGAAAUCUCCAGCCUCCGGCUGGCGAAUGUAGUCUAGAGAAGCGCUCUCUGCCUCAACCUUGACCCCAAGUUCUCCUGGAAAAGGGGCGUC
rnacentral:rRNA from 1 species